AACGAACGCUGGCGGCAGGCCUAACACAUGCAAGUCGAGCGCCCCGCAAGGGGAGCGGCGGACGGGUGAGUAACGCGUGGGAACGUACCUUUUGCUUCGGAAUAGCCUCGGGAAACUGGGAGUAAUACCGAAUGUGCCCUACGGGGGAAAGAUUUAUCGGCAAAAGAUCGGCCCGCGUUGGAUUAGGUAGUUGGUGGGGUAAUGGCCUACCAAGCCGACGAUCCAUAGCUGGUUUGAGAGGAUGAUCAGCCACACUGGGACUGAGACACGGCCCAGACUCCUACGGGAGGCAGCAGUGGGGAAUCUUAGACAAUGGGCGCAAGCCUGAUCUAGCCAUGCCGCGUGAGCGAUGAAGGCCUUAGGGUUGUAAAGCUCUUUCGUGGGGGAAGAUAAUGACUGUACCCCAAGAAGAAGCCCCGGCUAACUCCGUGCCAGCAGCCGCAGUAAGAC
rnacentral:rRNA from 1 species